rnacentral:rRNA from 1 species
AGGACUAACGCUGGCGGCGUGCCUAACACAUGCAAGUCGAACGGGGGUAGCAAUACCCCAGUGGCAGACGGGUGAGUAACACGUGGUCAACCUACCUCUGUGUGGGGGAUAACUAGCCGAAAGGUUAGCUAAUACCGCAUACGAUCGUUUUGAGGCAUCUCGAGACGAUGAAAGGAGCAAUCCGCACGGAGAGGGGGACUGCGUCCCAUUAGUUAGUUGGUGGGGUAACGGCCUACCAAGACUCCGAUGGGUAGCUGGCUUGAGAGAGCGACCAGCCACACUGGAACUGAGACACGGUCCAGACUCCUACGGGAGGCAGCAGUGAGGAAUUUUCCGCAAUGGGCGAAAGCCUGACGGAGCGACGCCGCGUGUGGGAUGAAGGCCUUCGGGUCGUAAACCACUGUCGAAGGGGACGAUAUUGACGGUACCCUUGGAGGAAGCCCCGGCUAACUACGUGCCAGCAGCCGC